UGCACUCUGGUAACCAGUGACACUGUCCCAAACCUGAGGAUACACUGGCCUAAAUAAAUAAUAAGCAGGGGAAGCUGACAACCGGUUUGUUUUACCAUUGUUCUUGAGAGCAUGAGGUAAUGCUACUUAUUCAACUAGUGUUGCAAGUGGACAACAGACAUGUGGAGAAUAUCAGCGGUGAGAAAUGAGGGAAGUCCUACCCAGACCAGCAGCAGAGUCCAGCUUUACACAACAGAGGCUUCUAAAAGAACCGCAGUUGCACUGAAGUGCAGUCAUGAUGAAGUUGGAGGUCAGUGAGCCCAACAAAGACUGGAGCCUGCAAGGGACCUGCAUUGACCUACGAAAGGAUAGAAAUACAUGUUAAGGGAUGGAGCUAAGAUGGAAGAUAGAUAACAGCUGGCUACAGAGGCUCCCAGAGAUAGUCAACUUAGAGCUCAUAAUACAACAUGGGGAGCCUCUAACAGACAGAGAGGAAUUCUCUCAUCCCAAGAAGAAACUAAGGUGGGAAAAACCAAUCAAACAUACACUCUCAGUCAGCUGCACCACUGUGCAGCCCUGAGCACCUCCGGGCCCUCCAGCGAGACAGGUCAUCGCCAUGCCGCUGCCUCCAGCCACUGUCUCCAACUCUGUUGCCAGGGGCCUGCCAGAGGCUGGGAGAAUGAAGCAACUCGGCACCCCCUGGCUGCCCCCACCACCUACACCACUGCCACUGCCGCUGCCCCCUCCCCAGAUCCAGGCCCUGUCCUAGAAGGCAGGAGGAAGAGGGCACGUUGCGGCAUCAUGGGUAUGGGACCAGACCUGUUGGGACACAUCGCCACCGUCGCACUUACCCCUCGCAUGAUGACACGAGCUUGCGGGCCCCCUCCGCCAGAGAGCCUCCAAAGUCCCCAUGCAGGUGAGUGUGUCUUCAUCACCGCCAGGCCUGCGGGACCAGAGCCCCAUGGAGCCACCACCAUGAACAGAGCCCAGAGAAGCUGCUUCUGAAAACACCUUUUCAAACAAUAAUCAAAAAUACAGAACCAGAACUUUCUGGUUUCCUUCCAACAUUGACCAGCUUCAGGGAAUUGGACCUGCCUGCCUGCGCCCUGAACUCUGGACUGGGCAGCCUGGGGUGAGUGUCCUCACACCAUUCUGAGCCCCUAGGAGGGAGUUUAAGAUACCUCAGAUAACAGCAAAUUGGGGAGGGCAGCAAAACCCCAGUCAGCACACUUCAGAAAGACCCUGAGCAAUAUGAAGAGGACCAGAGAUCCUCCAGACCCACCUAUCUAAAAGAAACCAGAAACAUGACAAGAGAUAGAAAUUUUAAAAAAGCAAACCUCCAACCAAUGACCCUGGAAAAAUAAGCCUAGGAGAGAUAAAUACCGAAGAGAAACAGUGCAGUAAUCAUGCAAUAUUAGAUACAGCAUCAGUGGACAUAAAGAAAUAACUUUAUGACCUCUAGACGAAUUUAAAACUACUUCCAAUCCAAGUGAGGCAAGACAUAAAAAGAUUAAUUAAAUAAAUGAUAAGCCCCUCCCAAGAGAACACAGAUGGGAAGAAUGGAGGAACUCAGAAAGGAAGACAAACCUUUCUGAAGAAUAUAAACAAAAUCUUGAAUACAUGAAAUGGAUCCACGGAGAUUACCAGGAAACUAAAAACUCUAUUGAAAGUUGGCAAAAUGCCUUGACAAAAACUAAAGUUAGCCUUUUCAAACUUAAAGAGAGAUUUAUGGUGUGUGAUUGUGAAAGAAAAGAUCUCUUAAAAACAACAAGGAACCAGGAAAAAACAAUACAAAGGCUAGAAGACGAAAAGAAGAUUCAUAACUUAAGAAUAAAAUACGUGAGCUUCAAAGCAGGAGUAACUAAAAAUGAACUACAAAGACUAUUCACAGAUAUAAUUAGGGAAAGCUUCCCAAGCAUAGGAAAAAGAAAUGAUAUCCAGAUAAAAGAGGCAUACAGAACUCCAGCCACCUACAAUCAAAACAGAUCUAUACCCAGACAUAUAAUAAUCAAGAGUCCAGAAAUCCACCACAAGAACAGCAUGUUAAAAGCAGCCAGAGAAAAGAAUCAGAUUACCUACAAUGGAAAAAUUAUCAAAAUAAUGACAGACUUAUCAACACAAACUCUCAAAUCGAGAAGAGCCUGGGGGGAAAUAGUCCAAGCCCUGAAAGAAAAUAACCUCCAACCAAGACUGAUGUACCUGGAAAAACUCUCCCAAAAUUAAUGGAGGAACGAGAUAUUUCCAAGACAAGGAGCAACUGUUGGAGUUCAUGGCCACCAACCCAACCCUACAAAAAAUACUGAAGGAUAUUCCAGAGAGAGAGAUUGGAAAAAAUACCAGGAUUCCAGCAACAGUGACAGAGAGGCCUCAAUGAACGGGGCAGAUAGUGGAAUGAAGAAGUAAAGUGGACAAAUUAUGACAGAAGAAUAAAAUAGCAGAAAUGAGGCAGAGACAGUAAGCUACAAUCUUUAAUAUAUAGAUAGGCCUGAUACACUAACAAAAAAAAAGAAACACAAGCAGAGUAGACUAGGAGGCAGGAUCCUUCAAGGUGCUCUGAAUAGGAGAUACACUCAACUUGAAAGAGGAUUAAUAAACUGAGUCAAAGAUGAGAAAACAAUGCAAUAUGUGACAGGAAACCAGAGAGAAAUAGGGACAACUUGUCCAGCAGCUGCAGAUAGACUGGAAAGCUAUGACACUUUUGGGCAAUGUAAAACCACACAGCUGGAAGGAAGAAUAAUCUUGUGACUUUAGUAAGUAAAGGAGUACAGCUCAAGAUCAAGCUCAGGGGUAAAAAGGUUUAGCAACACUCAGAUAAAUAACAAGUUGGUCCCCUAAUCUAAAAACUAAAAGAGCUACUGGGACCCAAAGUAUACAAAGCACCCUGAGAAAAGGAAAAGCGAGAAUUUGUCUGAAAAAGGAAGGCAGAAGACACUGUUAAUAGUAUAUCAGGAUUUAAAAGUCACUGUAGUCUUACCGCUCUGUUUAGUUUGAUUAUAUUUUGUUCUGGUCUGUCUACUUAUAUUAGAUUUGAGAGCACAGACAGCUAACCCUAAAAUAGCAGGUUAUACCAUGUUAACUAUCCUUAAUUUCCUAUUAACUUAAACUGAAACCCUGUGAUACUUACAUUGUCUUACUAUGACAGAUCUUAUUUGAAGCUGGUUUGUUAGACCACUGUUUAGCCUUCACUGUUCAUUGGAGUUUGGUAUCCUUGAUAGUAUCAAGUCUGGGAGUGGAGACAACUAUUCUGAAGACGACAAGAUGUAAAAGAUAUCCAUUCUGGUUUUGAUUAUUAACUGCUUUCAAGUCCUACAAUGUCUUCAAAGUUGUGUUUUUAUUAAAAUAGCUAUGUAAUGUUAUGUUUAACUAUAUUAUGCCUGAUGAUGUGGACAAUUCUAUUGAAAAUAACAAGAGAAAGCAUCAUAACUACUGUAGAUCAGCUAAUAUUGUGGUCCUAUAUGUCUUUUUCAUUUCAUGUUUUUCUAGGAAUUUAUUUUGUUGUCUUGUUUUGGUCUGUUUUUCCCUAUAAUACAGAAAGGAUAGAUAUACAUGUAGAGAUUCACACAUGGGAAGAAUUUCUAAACUGUUUUCAGGAACAGAUUAUAUAACACACAAUGUAAUGAACAGAUGCUCUGAAGAAGAAGAGACACUAAGAAACCCAGUGCUAAUUCUGUAGUGUUAUGAUAUGAAAUCUAGCAAUACUAUCAUUCACUGUUCAGAGUGAUAUUAUGUUCAAUUUCAGCAUAGGUAAAGAUAAAGACAGCUACUAUGAAGAGACUGAGAAACAUUAUGGUAGACAUUAUUGACUUCCCCAAAAUCAGGUCUUGAAGACCUAAAAAGCCUUCAUCAUCCUGUAAUAAUCUGAUUAGUUCUAUAAUGUUCAGUAUAUAUUCAAUGUGUGUGAAGAUGGGGACAACUAUUUGGAAGAAAACUAGAGAAAAUAAGAUAGACAGUGAAGAUCUCCAGUAGACUUGCUUUGAAAUAUAUAUUUCUUUAAAUUGUUGCCUUAUAAACUGUUUUGUUCUGUUUAAUCUUAUCCUAUUUAAGAUAAAAAAAACAAGUGUGUAGUACUGAUAAUCAUAUUACUAAGUUCUUGUUGGAUUAUUGAGUAGAACUGUUUGCAGUGUCAUUGUUUGAAUAUCACUUUGUAUGCUUUAAUUUUGUAACUAGAGAAACUAUUUCUAAGAUGACGGUAUGUAACUUAUCGACUGGUGAUUUCUUACUGUUUAUUUUUCUGAAAUUCUGUAUUGUUUCUACCCUUUUUAUCUGUUUUUUUCUUUAAAUAAAAAAUACGUAUUAACACUCAUGCAUGCGUACAACCUACAGUUUACGAGAACUGAUCUUACAAUGCAUAAUGAAAUGAACAAAUACUUUGAAGAAUGAUAGAUACUACAGUAUCCAGUGCUGAUCCCAUAGUGUCAUGAUGUGAAAUUCAGCAAUACUAUUAUUCUUUUUUCAGAGUGAUUAUAGCCUGCUAUGGUUUGUUUAAUCUCAACAUAAAUGAAGAUAUGGAUAAGUGCAUAUAUAUUUUAAGUGUAUAGGAUUGAUAACUGUAUUACUAAGUUUUUGUUGGAUAGUUGAGCAGAACUGGUUGCAGUCUUGCUGUUUGAAUCCCCACUUUGUAUGUUUCACUUUUGUAUCCUGAACAAUUAUUUGUAAGAGGACAAUAUAUAAUCAUCAAUUA